rnacentral:rRNA from 1 species
UACGGAGGGUGCAAACGUUGCUCGGAAUCAUUGGGCGUAAAGCGCACGUAGGCGGCCUGAUAAGUCGGGUGUGAAAGCCCUGGGCUCAACCCAGGAAGUGCACUCGAAACUGUCAGGCUUGAAUAUGGAAGAGGGUCGCGGAAUUCCCGGUGUAGAGGUGAAAUUCGUAGAUAUCGGGAGGAACACCAGUGGCGAAGGCGGCGACCUGGGCCAAUAUUGACGCUGAGGUGCGAAAGCGUGGGAGCAAACAGGAUUGA